AGUAGUCGCCAAUUGUUUUUAACAUUUUCUCCCAAUUUGGAAUAGCUAAUUAUUUUUCGCCUCAGCUCACCGCUACCACCCCCGCGCUGACUCGGGAGCGGGGAAGACGAACACACGCUGUCCUCCGAAGCGUGUGCCGUCAGCCGACCGCUUCUUUUUCACACUGCAGGUCCGCCAUGCAGCCACCUCAGAGCUGCAGCGUCGGAGGACAACGCAGCUGACAAUAAUAUGGGUAAUGGGCAUUGCAGGUAGUCAUCCAUCCUCUUAGGUCCUGUCAGUGAGGAAACAGACACUGUACUGUAAUUAGCCCUUCUGAAACAGAAUGCGUGAGACGCUGCACACAGCAGCACCACAGAGAGGCACUCAGCGAGACAUUGGCUCAAAACUGAAGAACGGAGGGAUUCGAAAAGAAUGGUGCACAUUUUGGGCUAAAGGUAAAGCAUUGCAAAGGAGUCCCAGAGUGACCUCAUUUUCUGCUGGAUUCUGAAACAACUGUAAUUGAGGAGCACGGCCGACACGCUGAGGCCCCACGCGGGCACGCCUCUCAUUUUAGAGCCUCUGUUCCAGUGUCUCCAAGGGGUGCCCGUGCAGAUCUCAUAAUCAGUGUUGCCAGAUCAGAGCACGGGGCAGCGUGAACGACAAUGAAACGACUGUGAUGUUUUCUGAUGCUCUGAAGGAGCUGCAGUUCUGCUCACUGUGUCCUUGGGAGAAUAUGCAGCAAAGAGUUCAAACUUGGUGCAAAUAAUGGGUUUAAAACAUGCAAUUCCACGUGCCUAAGGAAUUAACCAGUCAUGCACGGGCAGUCUAGUUGCACAAAAGUGUGGGCUACAUAUGGCAAGUUUCUAAAACAACAUAAAGUCCAACCCCUGUACUUUCAAUGUAAAAUACACGGCGUGUCCUUUAAAAACGAACUCUCAUGACACGGCUUCAACUUGCUGCAGGUAUAGUGCUCUUCAAAGACAGGGCCCUAAUGCGACUGGAUUAAA